rnacentral:rRNA from 1 species
AGCGAACGCUGGCGGCAGGCCUAACACAUGCAAGUCGAACGAACCCUUCGGGGUUAGUGGCGGACGGGUGAGUAACACGUGGGAACGUGCCUUUAGGUUCGGAAUAACUCAGGGAAACUUGUGCUAAUACCGAAUGUGCCCUUCGGGGGAAAGAUUUAUCGCCUUUAGAGCGGCCCGCGUCUGAUUAGCUAGUUGGUGAGGUAAAGGCUCACCAAGGCUACGAUCAGUAGCUGGUCUGAGAGGAUGACCAGCAACAUUGGGACUGAGACACGGCCCAAACUCCUACGGGAGGCAGCAGUGGGGAAUCUUGCGCAAUGGGCGAAAGCCUGACGCAGCCAUGCCGCGUGGAUGAUGAAGGUCUUAGGAUUGUAAAAUCCUUUCACCGGUGAAGAUAAUGACUGUAGCCGGAGAAGAAGCCCCGGCUAACUUCGUGCCAGCCGCCGCAGUAACAC